rnacentral:rRNA from 1 species
GACGAACGCUGGCGGCGUGCCUAAUACAUGCAAGUAGAACGCUGAAGAGAGGAGCUUGCUCUUCUUGGAUGAGUUGCGAACGGGUGAGUAACGCGUAGGUAACCUGCCUGGUAGCGGGGGAUAACUAUUGGAAACGAUAGCUAAUACCGCAUAAAAUUGAUUAUUGCAUGAUAAUUAAUUGAAAGAUGCAACUGCAUCACUACCAGAUGGACCUGCGUUGUAUUAGCUAGUUGGUGAGGUAACGGCUCACCAAGGCGACGAUACAUAGCCGACCUGAGAGGGUGAUCGGCCACACUGGGACUGAGACACGGCCCAGACUCCUACGGGAGGCAGCAGUAGGGAAUCUUCGGCAAUGGGGGGAACCCUGACCGAGCAACGCCGCGGGAGUGAAGAAGGUUUUCGGAUCGUAAAGCUCUGUUGUAAGAGAAGAACGGGUGUGAGAGUGGAAAGUUCACACUGUGACGGUAUCUUACCAGAAAGGGACGGCUAACUACGUG